rnacentral:rRNA from 1 species
UGAGGAAUAUUGGUCAAUGGGGGCAACCCUGAACCAGCCAAGUCGCGUGAAGGAUGAAGGUCUUAGGGAUUGUAAACUUCUUUUACACGGGAAUAAAGUGGGGGACGUGUCCCCCUUUGCAUGUACCGUGUGAAUAAGGAUCGGCUAACUCCGUGCCAGCAGCCGCGGUAAUACGGAGGAUCCGAGCGUUAUCCGGAUUUAUUGGGUUUAAAGGGUGCGCAGGCGGGAUGUUAAGUCGGCGGUGAAAUUUUGCAGCUCAACUGUAAAAGUGCCUUCGAUACUGGCCUCCUUGAGUGUGGAUGAAGUAGGCGCAAUUUGUGGUGUUGCGGUGAAAUGCUUAGAUAUCACGAGGAACUCCGAUUGCGCAGGCAGCUUACUAAGCCACAACUGACGCUCAUGCACGAAGGCGUGGGGAUCAAACA